UACGUAGGCAGCGAGCGUUGUUCGGAAUUACUGGGCGUAAUGAGUGUGUAGGCGGUGCUCUAAGUUCGGUGUGAAAUCUCCCGGCUUAACUGGGAGGGUGCGCCGGAAACUGGAGUGCUCGAGCGUGGGAGAGGAAAGCGGAAUUCCUGGUGUAGCGGUGAAAUGCGUAGAUAUCAGGAGGAACACCGAUGGCGAAGGCAGCUGCCUGGCCUAGAACUGACGCUGAGGUGCGAAAGCGUGGGGAGCGAACAGG
rnacentral:rRNA from 1 species